rfam:Lactobacillus ingluviei strain DSM 14792 Scaffold2, whole genome shotgun sequence.
GGUUUUGGGUAAUCGAGCGCAGCCUCAGUUGCGUUAGGAAGGUCCAUGCUCGCACGGGCUGCGAUGCCCGUAGUGUUUGUGCUCGCUGAAAAAAUAAGGCGGGGCACCGAGUAAUCGGUGACGGCGGAAAAAACGGCUAAGGCUUUUGGCUAGGUCCGAGUAUUCCUGAAAAGUGCCACAGUGACGAAGCAAGUUGGGAAACCAACUUGGUGGAACGCGGUAAACCCCUCAAGCGGUAAACCCAAACUACGGUCGGGGAGCUUUGGAUAGCGAAUUGAAGCGAUUCCAGGGGAGCAGUUAUUAACUGCUGAGAUAGAUGAUUACCACGGUCUAGGUUGGCCUGAACCUAGACUUCGACAAAACAUGGCCUACAGAA